rnacentral:rRNA from 1 species
ACGGAGGGGGCAAGCGUUGUUCGGAAUUACUGGGCGUAAAGGGCGUGUAGGCGGUUAGGUAAGUCAGUUGUGAAAGCCCCGAGCUUAACUUGGGAAUUGCAACUGAAACUGCCUAGCUAGAGUUUUGGAGAGGAAAGCGGAACUCCCAGUGUAGCGGUGAAAUGCGUAGAUAUUGGGAGGAACACCGGUGGCGAAGGCGGCUUUCUGGACAAAAACUGACGCUGAGGCGCGAAAGCUAGGGGAGCAAACGG